GACGAACGCUGGCGGCGUGCUUAACACAUGCAAGUCGAACGGGAAGGCCCUGCUUUUGUGGGGUGCUCGAGUGGCGAACGGGUGAGUAACACGUGAGUAACCUGCCCUUGACUUUGGGAUAACUUCAGGAAACUGGGGCUAAUACCGGAUAGGAGCUCCUGCUGCAUGGUGGGGGUUGGAAAGUUUCGGCGGUUGGGGAUGGACUCGCGGCUUAUCAGCUUGUUGGUGGGGUAGUGGCUUACCAAGGCUUUGACGGGUAGCCGGCCUGAGAGGGUGACCGGCCACAUUGGGACUGAGGGACGGCCCAGACCCCUACGGGAGGCAGCAGUGGGGAAUAUUGCACAAUGGGCGGAAGCCUGAUGCAGCAACGCCGCGUGCGGGAUGACGGCCUUCGGGUUGUAAACCGUUUUCGCCUGUGACGAAGCGUGAGUGACGGUAAUGGGUAAAGAAGCACCGGCUAACUACGUG
rnacentral:rRNA from 1 species